CAUAGUUUAUUAGAUCUUACUUUCCUACAUGGAUAACUGUGGUAAUUCUAGAGCUAAUACAUGCCUUGAAGCCGAAACCUUACGGAAUCGGCGCAUUUAUUAGAUCAAAACCAAUCGGACUUCGGUUCGCUCUUUGGUGAAUCUGAAUAACUCAGCCGAUCGCACGGUCCUCGAACCGGCGACGUAUCUUUCAAAUGUCUGCCUUAUCAACUUUCGAUGGUAGUUUAUGCGCCUACCAUGGUUGUAACGGGUAACGGAGAAUAAGGGUUCGAUACCGGAGAGGGAGCCUGAGAAACGGCUACCACAUCCAAGGAAGGCAGCAGGCACGCAAAUUACCCACUCCCGGCACGGUGAGGUAGUGACGAAAAAUAACGAGAUGAUUCUCUCAGAGGCUCAUCAUCGGAAUGAGUACAAUUUAAAUCCUUUAACGAGGAUCAAUUGGAGGGCAAGUCUGGUGCCAGCAGCCGCGGUAAUUCCAGCUCCAAUAGCGUAUAUUAAAGUUGUUGCGUUUAAAAAGCUCGUAGUUGGAUCUGCGGCCUAGGAUAGCGGUCCCCCAAUGGGUGGUCACUGCUUUUCCUGGCCUAAUCUCUGGUUUUCCCUUGCUGCUCUUUACUGAGUGGCUUGGGCGACUGGAACAUUUACUUUGAAAAAAUUAGAGUGCUUAAAGCAGGCGAAUGCCUGAAUAGUGGUGCAUGGAAUAAUGGAAUAGGACCUCGGUUCUAUUUUGUUGGUUUUCGGAGCUCGAGGUAAUGAUUAAGAGGGACAGACGGGGGCAUUAGUAUUGCGACGUUAGAGGUGAAAUUCUUGGAUCGUCGCAAGACUAACUACUGCGAAAGCAUUUGCCAAGAAUGUUUUCU
rnacentral:rRNA from 1 species